GGAUCCAGACUUUGAUUAUGGCUCAGAACGAACGCUGGCGGCAGGCCUAACACAUGCAAGUCGAGCGCUCACUUCGGUGGGAGCGGCGGACGGGUUAGUAACGCGUGGGAACGUGCCCAGAUCUAAGGAAUAGCCACUGGAAACGGUGAGUAAUACCUUAUACGCCCUUCGGGGGAAAGAUUUAUCGGAUUUGGAUCGGCCCGCGUUAGAUUAGAUAGUUGGUGGGGUAAUGGCCUACCAAGUCUACGAUCUAUAGCUGGUUUUAGAGGAUGAUCAGCAACACUGGGACUGAGACACGGCCCAGACUCCUACGGGAGGCAGCAGUGGGGAAUCUUGGACAAUGGGGGCAACCCUGAUCCAGCCAUGCCGCGUGAGUGAUGAAGGCCUUAGGGUCGUAAAGCUCUUUCGCCAGGGAUGAUAAUGACAGUACCUGGUAAAGAAACCCCGGCUAACUCCGUGCCAGCAGCCGCGG
rnacentral:rRNA from 1 species